GGGCGGUUAGCUCAGCUGGUCAGAGCGCCUGCUCGACAAGCAGGAAGUCAUUGGUUCGAAUCCGAUACUGCCCACCA
rnacentral:tRNA from 1 species